GAGGAAGGUGGGGAUGACGUCAAGUCCUCAUGGCCCUUAUGUCCUGGGCUACACACGUGCUACAAUGGCGGUGACAGUGGGAAGCCAGGCAGCGAUGCCGAGCUGAUCCUCAAAAGCCGUCUCAGUUCGGAUUGUACUCUGCAACUCGAGUGCAUGAAGGUGGAAUCGCUAGUAAUCGCGGAUCAGCAUGCCGCGGUGAAUACGUUCCCGGGCCUUGUACACACCGCCCGUCACAUCACGAAAGUGGGUUGUACUAGAAGCAGGUGAGCUAACCGCAAGGAAGCAGCCUUCCAAGGUGUGAUUCAUGAUUGGGGUGAAGUCGUAACAAGGUAGCCGUAA
rnacentral:rRNA from 1 species